rnacentral:sRNA from 1 species
AACCAAGGCGCACCUUGACCAAUUAGCGCUGCAUUAGGCUGUUUUUCAGGCCGACGAAGAUACAAGUUGACUGGAAUUAUUUAACAUGUCAAUUAUAUGCUGUGCCAUCGCCAUGAGCAAUUGGUGAAGCUGCAUAUCAUCAUAAUUUCGUUGGGAGAAACCAUGCGGUGUUUUAAUUCCAAAUCGAGUUUCGGAGGUAUUUCGGUUUACUGAAUGUUUGAUUGUUGGUGAUUGAUCUUACCUCCGUGGGAGUGGAUCGGCCCUCUCGGCCUUCAAAGCACCCUGGGUGUGGCUGCCCAGUAUAUUUUUGUCAUCGAAGCGGGAUGUCAACGCAGAAG